ACGCUCGACACCUACGGGAGGCAGCAGUGGGGAAUAUUGCACAAUGGGGGAAACCCUGAUGCAGCGACGCCGCGUGAGCGAAGAAGUAUUUCGGUAUGUAAAGCUCUAUCAGCAGGGAAGAAAGUGACGGUACCUGACUAAGAAGCACCGGCUAAAUACGUGCUAGCAGCCGCGGUAAUCUGAGCGGGCUGGCAAGGC
rnacentral:rRNA from 1 species